rnacentral:rRNA from 1 species
GACGAACCGUGCGAACGUUAUUCGGAAUCACUGGGCUUAAAGCGCGUGUAGGCGGGUCGGUGCGUCGGCCGCUGAAAUCCCCCGGCUCAACCGGGGAAGGGCGCCGAUACGACCGGCCUGGAGCGACGUAGGGGGAACUGGAACUUCCGGUGGAGCGGUGAAAUGCGUUGAGAUCGGAAGGAACGCCCGUGGCGAAAGCGAGUUCCUGGACGUCGGCUGACGCUGAGACGCGAAAGCCAGGGGAGCGAACGGG